GGGCGGGUAGCGUAGUGGUCAGCGUGUUUACUAAGAGUUUUAUCAGCGUUGUUCUUCCAGCGUGUAGCGAGAGUCCUGGGUUCGAAUCCCAGCCCUCCCA